UUAACAGCUGACGGUUGCUUCGCUCAGAACGCUUGAGAGCUAACAGCUGACGGUCGUUUCCGUAAAGAGGUAGAAAGAAAUUGACGAAUCUGGAAAUUGGUAAGGAAAACAAUAUUAAUAUAAAUUCACUAAAUAUAUAAUUCAAAAUACUACAUUCGGUUUUAUUAGAUCUCGGAGGGUUUCCCCCGUGAACAGCUGAAGCCCGAAAAAUAGCCGUUGACAGCUCGGAGCAUCGGUCAGGUUUUUUUUUUUUGGAGUUUGUACAGUACACUUUUGGCUUGGAGGGCCAAAGAUUCCAAGACCCUCUUCACCUGAAACUGGAUGGCGAGCCCCAGCCCAGAGGACCAGGCGCACGGGUAGAUAGUGACCCGACUGGUCACCAGCUGAGAGACUUUGAGACUGAAGAAUUAAUUCAUUGGAGACUGAAGUAUUCAAUUUAUUUAUUUAUUUAUUUUUUUU